UACGAAGGGGGCUAGCGUUGUUCGGAUUUACUGGGCGUAAAGCGCACGUAGGCGGUUUGUUAAGUGAGAGGUGAAAUCCCAGAGCUCAACUCUGGAACUGCCUUUCAUACUAGCAAGCUAGAGUCCGGAAGAGGUAAGUGGAACUCCUAGUGUAGAGGUGGAAUUCGUAGAUAUUAGGAAGAACACCAGGUGCGAAGGCGGCUCUCUGGGACGGUACUGACGGCUGAGACGCGAAAGCGUGGG
rnacentral:rRNA from 1 species